UUUCCGUAGUUGAACCUGCGGAAGGAUCAUUACUGAACUGUCAACACGAGUUGUUGCUGGUCCUCAAACGGGGGCAUGUGCACACUCUGUUUACACAUCCACUCACACCUGUGCACCCUCUGUAGCUCCAUGGCGUGGGGGAUGCUGUCCUCCUGCUGUGGUUCUAUGUCUUUACACACACACCGUGACAAAGUCUCAUGGCAUGUAUAUAGCGUUUAACGCAAUACAAUACAACUUUCAGCAACGGAUCUCUUGGCUCUCGCAUCGAUGAAGAACGCAGC
rnacentral:misc_RNA from 1 species